AGGCCGUUCCAAGAUGCUGUCAAAAUUAAAUCAAUAUGGCUACCGGAAGGCAAACAUUGAAUAUUAUUCUAUCAGGUUCUUAUGGUUUUAGAUCAUUUUAGUUGUUGUACAAAGAUUAAUUUAACAUUUUCUCUGGAAGUAUUAAUUUAGAAAGAUAAUAUGCCUCAUUGGUGUUGUGUUUUGAAGUGUGAAAUGCAAAGUAAUCGUGAUAAAGUUAGCUUUUACCACUUACCAUCAGUGCUACAUUCUAAGCACAAAACUGAACCAAUUUAACUAAAUAAGUUAUAGUUAUCAUCUGAGAGACAACAACAAUGGUAAAAUGCAAUAAAAUAUUAAGAUUUUACUAGCAAAAUGGAAAUUCCCCUGUAAUCAUCUUAUAUCUGGUAAGUUACAACAUUUGAACAUUAACCAUUUUUGAAGAUGUUAACAGUCUAAUCUUGUAGGAAAACCAGCCGACUUAACUGAUAAUAACAAUUCAGAUUGGGUUCCUUCAAUAAAUAUGGGGUAUAUAAACACAAUGAAAUGAGUUCCCCAAAAUCUAAAAUGGGAAUUAAGGUACCAAAGGAGAAUUAAAAGAAAAGGGUACCUACAAGAAAAAAUUGCUUUUUUAUUCCUCUUGAAAUGAUUUAUAAGACACUGGACUGUCUUAUAUUCUACAAAUACUAGAAUCAGCUGAGAGAAGUGGUCUACAAAAACCCAGGAAGGAAACGGAAUAUGUGGCUACGAAAGGCAAAAGAAAGGUUUACAAAGCAAAUGUGACACAUUUUUUUGAAAUAUUUAGGAAUAUCAGUAAAUUGCAUUAAAAAAAUGUAUGAAAAGAUUUUGUUCAAUAAAAAUGUUUAUAUUUA